GCCGAGAUAGCUCAGUUGGUAGAGCAGCUCACUUGUAAUGAGCAGGUCGCGGGUCCGAGUCCCGCUCUCGGCUCCA
rnacentral:tRNA from 1 species